rnacentral:rRNA from 1 species
CAGUAGCCGCGGGAAUACAGAGGAUGCAAGCGUUAUCCGGAAUGAUUGGGCGUAAAGCGUCUGUAGGUGGCUUUUCAAGUCCGCCGUCAAAUCCCAGGGCUCAACCCUGACAGGCGGUGGAAACUACCAAGCUAGAGUACGGUAGGGGCAGAGGGAAUUUCCGGUGGAGCGGUGAAAUGCGUUGAGAUCGAAAAGAACACCAACGACGAAAGCACUCUGCUGGGUCGACACAGACACUGAGAGACGAAAGCUCGGGGAGCAAAUGGGAUUAGAUACCCCCGUAGUCCCUGUCUCUUAUACA